rnacentral:rRNA from 1 species
CCUACGGGAGGCAGCAGUAGGGAAUUUUGCGCAAUGGGGGAAACCCUGACGCAGCAACGCCGCGUGAUUGAUGAAGCCCUUCGGGGUGUAAAGAUCUGUCAGUGGGGACGAAACUUGACGGUACCCACAGAGGAAGCAUCGGCUAACUCCGUGCCAGCAGCCGCGGUAAUACGGGGGAUGCAAGCGUUGUCCGGAAUCAUUGGGCGUAAAGAGUUCGUAGGUGGCACGUUAAGUCUGGUGUUAAAUGCAGAGGCUCAACCUCUGUUCGGCACUGGAUACUGGCGAGCUUGAAUGCGGUAGAGGUAAAGGGAAUUCCUGGUGUAGCGGUGAAAUGCGUAGAUAUCAGGAGGAACAUCGGUGGCGUAAGCGCUUUACUGGGCCGUAAUUGACACUGAGGAACGAAAGCCAGGGUAGCAAAUGGGAUUAGAUACCCGAGUAGUC